UUCCGUUCACUCCAUCCAGGACGACACACAGCAAGCCUUAGAAUGAAUUUGAACCUGUCGUCCCUGGUGUUGUUGGCAAUCGUAGUCCUCCUCGCCUUUGCAGCUUCGCCUUCGGAAAGUGCGAAUCUCGUGAAAAGGCCGCGACUCGACUUCAAAACUUGGUGGAAACAGAUAUAUCCGGCGGUAGCCGAGAUGGAGGAAGCCGAGCAGAACGGUCAAGAGAAACGCAAUCGAGAUGAAGAUUAUGGUCAUCUCAGAUUCGGUCGGGCUGGUCUAGGUGACGACUACGGUCACAUGCGAUUCGGCCGGAGGAAGUAGAAGGUCCUGCGUAGUUCUAGAAUCACCGAGACCAUGGACGCUCGCAAGAAGCGCCCGAAGAUACAGCAGAGAAUACUCUAACCCGGCUUCACACAGCAGCGAGGAAACUAAGGGAUAACCUCAUCACACGACUCAAUUCCGACUCCAGAACUUAUCGAUGACAUACAGCAUCACGAAGAUUGUUCUGCUCGAUUGAAUAAAUUUCG